rnacentral:rRNA from 1 species
CGGAGGGUGCAAGCGUUAUCCGGAUUCACUGGGUUUAAAGGGUGCGCAGGCGGGCUAUUAAGUCCGUGGUGAAAUCCCGGGGCUCAACCCGGAACUGCCAUGGAUACUAUUAGUCUUGAGUGUUGUUGAGGUGGGCGGAAUAGGUCAUGUAGCGGUGAAAUGCAUAGAUAUGACCUAGAACACCGAUUGCGAAGGCAGCUCACUGGACAAAUAUUGACGCUCAGGCACGAAAGCGUGGGGAUCAAACAGGAUUAGAUACCCUGGUAGUCCACGCCCUAAACGAUGAUUACUGGACGUUGGCGAUAUGACCGAUCAGCGUCUAUAUAAGCGAAAGCAUUAAGUAAUCCACCUGGGAAGUACGACCGCAAGGUUG